GCGAAAUCUACAUAAGUCCUUGUAAAAUGUGCCAAAUAAUAACACUUUUCCUUGUUCAAUAACGCUUUUUGUUUUUUCCAAAGAACGUCAUAUAUCAUCUCAGACUCGUGUAAAUAGGUACUAGUAAAUGAGAGAUGCAAUACCAUUUAAGUCAGUCUAAGUUGCCUAAAGCCUCGUGAUUGUACAAACUAAUUCUCGUCGUGGACUUUGUCACAUCGCUAUUUUACAUACUUAGACAUAGUGAGUCCAGCGCAUUGACUAUCAGGUGAAGAUUCUAGUAAAGGAUCACUUGGAACUUUGGUGGCAUUACUGUAUCGUCGAAAAUUUGGACCAUUCAGAGCUUCAAUUAAAGGAACAGUUUCGUAGCCAUAUGGAGUGCGUAAAUCAAUCUAUAAAGUUAGAAAAUUUAUAAAAAAUAUAUAAUUUAAAUUUUAAACUUAAA